UCUUGAUGAUGAAUCUAUCCCGAACCUGACUUCAGAUUUGAUUGAAAGCCAUAUACGGAUCUGACUCCUGAAAC